GUCUCCCUCUGCGCCGGGCACGGCGGGCCCUACCCCAUGGGCGAGGUGGCGAGGGCAGAAAAUCCUUGGGGCGGCGGCGAGCGGGGGCGAGGACCCAGCUGCAGCCUCUGGGGCGUCUCCGGAAAGUUUAGCGCCUGAGGGAGUGAACUCUGGAGCUGACCUUCCUGGUCUCUAAGCCAUGUGUCCCCGGUGGGAUUUGGCUGUUCACAGUUCUUGGUUUAGCAUCUUCUUCUGGAAACAACCAAGGGAGGCAGGCCAGACAAAGUUUUGGUGAUGAGGAUGGGAUCCAGAGGAGACUACUGAUGGCUUUGGGGACAAUGAGAAACACACAGGUGCCAUAGGGAAAAAUGAGUCUCAGCCAAGAACCCACUGUAAAGUGUAGUGGGAAGGUCAUUCUUCCUCCUCUACAGUUUCUGGCAACGCAGAUGGAUCCUGCUGGGACAUCCUCCUUACUCUGGAGCCCACAGAUGGGAUCCUGGGAGAACGGGCAGAGGCUGGUGAAGGCCCUGAGCGAACAUCUGCUGCCGAUCCUCCUGGUUUUGCUGAGGAAGACUGGCCCUGAGCUAACAUCCGUGCCCAUCUUCCUCUAUUUUAUAUGUGGGACGCCUGCCACAGCAUGGCUUGAUAAGCAGUGCCAUGUCCGCACUUGGGAUCCGAACUGGUGAACCCUGAGCCCCCAAACUGGAACAUGCGAACUUAACUGCUGUGCCACUGGGCUGGCCCCCCCCAAAAUACAAUAAAAAUAAAAAUUGUACAGUUUAAGGGCAUUAAGUACAUUUACAAUGCUGUGAAACCAUUACCACUAUCUAGUUCCAGAACAUUUUCAUCAUCCCAAAAGGAAACCCUAUACUCAUUAAGUGGUGACUUUUCAUCCCCGUUUCAAUAACUUGAUAACCAUAAUUUUUUUAAGCCAUUUUAUCUUCUGUCACUUUAUAAAAGUUUGGGUUGAGUAUCUUAUCCAGUCAGCCUGAUGCCCCAGAAAAAAAGAAUCAUGACAGCUUCCAAGAAAUCCAGUGGAAAUAACUGUAUUGUCAUAUAUGUCAUAACUGGUUAAAAAAAC
rnacentral:lncRNA from 1 species